rnacentral:sRNA from 1 species
CGCGGUCGGGUGAGGCGGCACGGAGUUGGGGCCGGUGGGGAGGGGCAUGAGGCGCUCGCAGGCACCUCGAGAAGCAGGCCCCGACCGCUCGCCGAGGAACCCUCGUCCGGGCCUCCUGGGAGCGGGGCGGCAGGCACCGUGGCGCCUCCUCGCGUUGGUCUUGCUGGUUCUCGGCCCCCGAAGCGGAGCGACGGAGACACAGCUGUGGAAGCAUCUGGAUCCGCUGCCCAGGUCCCCGAGCUUCCCGGAACCCGAGGCCGCAGAACACUGAAGGCUGCCAUUCCCGAGUAGGUCACGCUGGACGCCACCCUAAGCUGGGCCCAGAGGCUCCCGUCCAGGAGGGCUGCAGUCGGCGCAGACACUGCGCGUGUGGGGACGAGAGACCCAGCCUCCUCGGCCGUUCCGGGAGUAGGCGCGGCCGGUCAGAUUCGAUGCAGAGCCGAAUGCAGGAGAAAGGGCAAAAUGUCCCUCAAACCAGACAAAGCCGUGUGAGGUUCAGGUUCUCAAAUACCCCACUCACCCGGACCCCACAUCUCCAAUCACCUCCUCCCACCCAAAUCCCAUUCGGAGCCACCGAAUUGCACGUGGAACGAGUUCUUGGGAAUGGAUCAAGCCAGUCUCUUCAUCUAAGGGAGACAGCCCAGGGUGGCUUUGUCACACAGCCACUGUGUUGUGCACAAGUUCUGACCUUGGCCUCAAAGAAGCCCCAGAGUAGAAAGAAGACAAAAUAAACCCCAGUUCUUCGAUUCUGGGCUGAAGUGAGAUUUUCUUGAAUGGCAGCCAGUGUUUUGCCUCUUAGGUAAGUGAGUGCAGUAAAGACCGGUAAGGCCCAAGCAGAAGAAACACUGAGGAAAGAAGACACUUCCAAAGUAACAAAUGGGAGGAAGCAGCCAAUGCCCGAGGACAACAUGGCAAGAAGGAGCCUUUGGAUUCCGGACUGGGAUGGAAAGAGUUGGUUGAAUCCCAGAAUUUGGAAACCCCAGAUACGGAGGGCGGACGGUACAACCGGAGCUGUCAGGUGGAUUUCCAAGGCUUUGCAUUGGCUAUACCUGAAACUUAUGACAGAUCCUUUGGUGGCCUAGACUCCCCAAUAUCCAUUCUUCCUUAUCUUGGUAAAGAAGCCCAGUUCUUAGUCACAUCCCUGCUCUGCCUACUUACAGGGGCAUGUGGUCCCAAUCUAAGCAACGUAGCAUAAUUCCAACCUAAAUCAGCAUAAUCCCAUUCCCUGCCACAGUUAUUUGGCUGGCAAUGAGCGUAACAUAUUUGGGCCAAUGAGAGGAGCAAUUUCCUGGUCUUUGUUGGGAAAAGUUUUUCUUUCAUUUUCUGAGAGCGCUUCAGAGGCAACCCAUUCUUUCUGCAUGUCCUCAAAGAAACAGAUCCCCUGGAUGGUGGGUAGCCAUCUUCCAAACACAACUCUAGCCGGGUUAAAAUAAAGUGGACAUCAAGAAAACA